rfam:Roseovarius tolerans strain EL-164 ROTO_contig000002, whole genome shotgun sequence.
GCCCAAGUGGCGGAAUGGUAGACGCAGGGGAUUCAAAAUCCCCCGGUAGCAAUACCGUGCGAGUUCGAGUCUCGCCUUGGGCA